UCACAUUUCAUGCCUAAGUGGACUUAUUUAAUCGCUAUUUUCUUAUAUAUACUUGAAAUUCUGAUGCACUGUGAAGUAAUACAGUAUGGUUUUAUUUCUGUGAUUUGACUUUAGAUUUCCUAUCAGUCCAAUGCGAAGAACUCUCUGGAGAACUGCAGUGGAUUAUCUACAAUAAACUGCAUGAGGGAAUAAAUAUACUGUGAGGCAGUAGUCAAAAUGCUUAACUCCUUAAACAGAUGUCUACAAGAUGAUCAUAGUGGAGCAGUAUGGAAGUGAAUGGGCAUGAAUAACGAUUGAAGUUGUGCAUGAUUAAUGAGCAAACUAUAAUGAAUGGCAAGUGGAGAGCUAAGUCUGCAGGCCCCUUUCUCUGUGUAAAAGUGAGAGGAAGCCAAUGAAAAUGACCAUGAGGUGUGCAAUACCUCCAAGCAUUCUUGAAUGACAUCAUCAACUAUUGCUAAUGUUGAAUCUCGUAUGUUUCUGAAAUACAAGUUUCCAUUGUUAAUGAAGGUUCAAGGAGAGCACUUCUGUGCCAUUUAAACAUUGUGUGUUAAUAAAUGACUUAAAUGAAGUCUGAAGUCUUGUAGAAUAUUAUCUAAAAAGGAAAUAUUUAUUAUAUACGUAAAAUAAAAUGCUGAUGUCAAGAACCAACAUUUAACAGAUUGUGAAGGGCUGACAUAUAAGCGGAACGAGGAAUUGAUUAUGUUGCAUCUGUUUAUAGUCCACUAAGCAUCUACAAUGACAGCUCUAUGAUCUUUGGACGGCAGUCUGUGCUGCGCUGUUGUGGCAUAUGCUUCUGCACUUGUAUACACAGUUUAUUCAGACAAUAAA